CCUACGGGAGGCAGCAGUGGGGAAUAUUGGACAAUGGGGGCAACCCUGAUCCAGCCAUGCCGCGUGUGUGAAGAAGGCCCUCGGGUUGUAAAGCACUUUCAGUGAGGAAGAACGCCUGGUGGUUAAUACCCAUCAGGAAAGACAUCACUCACAGAAGAAGCACCGGCUAACUCCGUGCCAGCAGCCGCGGUAAUACGGAGGGUGCGAGCGUUAAUCGGAAUUACUGGGCGUAAAGCGCGCGUAGGUGGCUUGAUAAGCCGGUUGUGAAAGCCCCGGGCUCAACCUGGGAACGGCAUCCGGAACUGUCAAGCUAGAGUGCAGGAGAGGAAGGUAGAAUUCCCGGUGUAGCGGUGAAAUGCGUAGAGAUCGGGAGGAAUACCAGUGGCGAAGGCGGCCUUCUGGACUGACACUGACACUGAGGUGCGAAAGCGUGGGUAGCAAACAGGAUCAGAUACCCUGGUAGUC
rnacentral:rRNA from 1 species